UUAUACAGCAUGGAAUAUCUCCUUGGCCAGGCAGGGUCAGCUGUCCCAGCUGUGUGCUCUCCCAAACUCCUGCCCAAUCCAAACUGCUUGCACUGAGGUAGAUUGUGAUAGAAAAGGCCUUGACUCUAUGCAAGCACCAUUGAGCUGUGGCUAAACAGUGGCAUGUUACCACCACUGGUUUUGUCACAAAUUAUAGCUGUAGCCUCACACAGGAUGCUAGGAAGAAAGUUAACUCCAUCCCAGCCAGACCCAGUAUACUGCUGGACAACAAAGGACAAUUACAGGCGCUGAAUUCAGAUUACAAAAGCAAGUGGUCAGGUUGUUUACAGCUCUGCUCUAGCCCAGAGUUCAGAUUGUUGAGCAAUGGGGUUUGAAGUUUGGAGGAGGAAGAUUUGGACACAAUGGAAUUAUCUGAGAUGUGAACACAGGCCAGGAGAACAACCACAGACUUUCAGCCCUCUUCAGGAGCAGACCCAGCAUAUUUCACUCACCUUGUUCUGAUGAAACUUCACUACUUCUGAUGAAGGAGGAAGUGGAGAUGCCAACAUUUGAUGCUGAUUCAGAGGCACCCACCACAUGCUAUAAAAACUGCUGCCUGAAAGGGAUUAUGUGUUCCUUGAACUAUUAUACGCUUAAGGAGAUAUGAAUAAACUUCCAAAUUCCAAAAUGAUUGAAAAAAUAGAAAUACUCCCACAGAAAAGGAAAAAAAAAAAAGAGAGAGAGAACCAAAAAGGAACUAGAAGAAAUGGAAUCAAUUCAUGACAAAUUUUGCCAACACAUUUCAUAUGAAUAAGAUGUCAGAUGUCCUGGAGUUAUUUCUACAACAAGUCUACAAACAAGAACUGUCAGUACAGGA